ACAUCGGUAGCACAGUGGUUAAUGCGAUCUGCCGGAAACAGAGAGACGCGGGUUCAAUUCCCGCCCGAUGUC
rfam:Nippostrongylus brasiliensis genome assembly, scaffold: NBR_scaffold0005681